UUGUUUACCCAGACAAGUGCCAUGGAGGGAGGGAGACAAAUGAGUCCUGUGGAACCCUAAUUGUUUGUGCCUGUGUCUGAGUGAAUAAAGCUGAGGCGCAUUAGUCACCUGGGGCACUCUGCUGAAGGGAGAUGAGCCCUCUGCUGCCCCACCCCCACCCCCAUUUUAACCUGAUUCUGACUCUUUACUUACAUCCUCAUCGCCCCUUGGUCAGGUUCGAGCUCAGAGACUGGUUCCUACAACGACUGUCUUCAGAUUUCAGUGGUGUUGGCAGAUGGAGCCACGAUCAUAGCCAAUCCUAUCAGCAACCCAUUCAGUGCUGCUCCCGCAGCAACCACGGUGGUGCAGACCCACAGCCAGAGUGCUAGCACCAAUGCUCCCGCCCAGGGCUCAUCCCCCCCGGUCAAGCAUCCUCCAGAAGAAACCUGCCACAGAUGGUGCCAAACCUAAAUCUGAAAUCCACGUGUCUAUGGCCUCUCCGGUCACUGUGUCCAUGGAGACCGUAUCCAAUCAAAAUAAUGAUCAGCCUACCAUUGCUGUCCCUCCCACUGCCCAGCAGCCACCUCCAACCCUUCCAACCAUGAUUGCCGCAGCUAGUCCCCCAUCCCAGCCAGCCGUUGCUCUCUCAACCAUUCCUGGAGCUGUCCCCAUCACUCCACCCAUCACAACUAUUGCAGCUGCACCACUACCAACAGCCACUGUGAGUGGCAGCCUCUCCUCUGUCGUAGGCCCCCCUAUACCUGAGAUCAAAGUGAAAGAGGAAGUAGAGCCAAUGGACAUCAUGAGGCCAGUUUCCGUUCCUCCACUGGCCACCAACACUGUGUCUCCAUCUCUCACAUUGCUGGCGAAUAACCUGUCCAUGCCUACAAGUGGCCUACCACCUGGUGCCUCCCCAAGGAAAAAGCCUCGGAAACAGCAGCACGUGAUCUCAACAGAAGAAGGGGAUAUGAUGGAGACGAACAGCACUGAUGACGAGAAGUCUACUGCCAAGAGUCUGCUGGUGAAGGCUGAGAAGCGC
rnacentral:lncRNA from 1 species